CCUACGGGUGGCUGCAGUGAGGAAUAUUGGUCAAUGGACGGAAGUCUGAACCAGCCAUGCCGCGUGCAGGAAGACGGCUCUAUGAGUUGUAAACUGCUUUUGUACAAGGGUAAACCUGAAUACGUGUAUUCAGCUGAAAGUACGGUACGUAUAAGGAACGGCUAACUCCGGGCCAGCAGCCGCGGUAAUACGGAGGAUUCAAGCGUUACCCGGAUUUAUUGGGUUUAAAGGGUGCGUAGGCGGUCGGGUAAGUUAGAGGUGAAAUCCCCGGGCUCAACUUCGGAAUUGCCUUUGAUUCUGUUCAACUAGAGUGUAGUUGCGGUAAGUGGAAUGUAAGGUGUAGCAGUGAAAUGCUUAGAGAUCAUACAGAACACCGAUUGCGAAGGCAGCUUACCAACCCACUUCUGACGUUGAGGCACGAAAGCGUGGGGAGCAAACAGGAUUAGAUACCCUGGUAGUC
rnacentral:rRNA from 1 species